UGGAACAUCCAGUGGCCUGCAUCUGCCUCU
rnacentral:piRNA from 1 species